rnacentral:sRNA from 1 species
GGAUUUGAUUAAUUUAAAAUGAAAAGAUUGGAAAAUCAUCAGUUAAUAUUAUAAGCAAUCUCAACAGGUUUUUUCAUCUGAGUAUUUUAUUCCCUGCAGUACAUUUCCUCAAUAUAGAAAAACUGCCUCCUGAGGGGAAGAGACAAAUGCAAUCAACCAAGAGAAUGUGCAGAAUCGCUGACUAUGCUGAAUCAAUCAUUGUAGUUGUAAACUUGUCUUGGUGAUUUGCGC